CUGAAAUACGUAUACUUUUUGUUUCAUUGUGCCCC
rnacentral:sRNA from 1 species